UUGACUUAGUUGGGUAGUGGGGAACCCUUCCAUGAGGAGUAGAACACUCCUUAUGCAAGAUUCCCUUCUACCUGACUGGGUUGG
rnacentral:pre_miRNA from 1 species